UCUGAGUUUGGGUUCAUAUUCGAUGGUCAGGUUACAGGAAUAUGUCCAGAUCUCUGUCCUGUCUGUAAAAUGACAGCUGACACUAGUAUUAUGUCAAACAGUACUAACUGCUUUUAGAUGUUGGUCCUGAAAGAUGAGUAUAUAAGUAAAAUACCACAUUUUCAUACGCUGCAGUUUUUGCCCAUGUGGUGCAGCCUUAUCUGUGCGCAUAUCACCAUGAUAUAUUUACUAUCAUAACAAGGUUUAUAGACUUUAAAAACUCUCUAAUGAUGAUGGACCUGCUAUUGAGUAAUUAAUUUCACUGUGGUGUCUGACCAGGGUUUGUAGAACAGGCAGGGGCAGUAAGGUUUAAAGGAUUUUAUCUUUGAUGGAUGUAGAACAGAAGGACACUGUUUGCUGCACAUUUGCAAACAUAUUGGGCCACUAAAACGUGUCCCAUAGCAGUUGAUAAGUGCUCCGAGUUGUUCCUGGGUUUGAUGUGACUACCGUGAUGUGUUCCUUAUUGAUGAGCUUUGUUUGCAGGUAACCAGAAGAAUCCACCAGAAGAGGUUUUCUGUCUGCCUCUACAUCCAUGACUACAAACAAACACACACACACACACACACACACACACACACACACACACACAUGCUCCUACCUGCCUGCCUGCAAGUCCCUGAACCGAGUGGUCUACAAACAUGGCUGCUGAAAGACUCCAGCACCCAGCAAUCAUCUCCAUCUCUCUCAUGUUUAUGUUCACCAUCAGUCUGAAGACACACACACCUAAACAUUGUUACCCCAAAUCUCACAGUAUCUCAGUCACAGUAUCUACAGACAAUCAUUCCAUCAUUACAUUGUGAAAUAUACACUCAGUAUCUUGUACCUGCAAAACCAAACCAUCUGUUACUCUGCUCUAAUGUUCAUGAUCAUGAUGAUGUAUCUGAUUAUAUGGUUAUAUCUUUGUCUUUUGCUCAGUUAACUCUGCUUCCACAUCAUCUGACUUCUGCCUGUAUUUUGACUUUAUUUGCCUUCACAAAUAAAAAUGCUGCCAGAGAAAUAAAACAUUCAAAACUC